GCACCUGAGGCCACGAAACCCCAGACGACUCGGAUAAGAUGCAGUGUACAGCAGUAAAGUACAAGACGAUCUGUCAGCGGGCUCUUGGAUGUAACAAAAGAAAGUAACGCUUAUCUGGUGGGAGCGAGUCAGGAGGCGGAAACGCACAUAGCGGUAGAACAUAACUACGGAAAAAUUCUUUCUGACCAUACACUUUCAGCCGUAGCAGAAGGAUACAGAUCUGCAGGUUGGAGUCGUGUCUUGGCUUGAGUGUGUCGGUGUCUCCUGAGCUGAGGGAGGCGAGCGCCAGAAACGUCACGCAUACGCCCCACAUGGUCAGGAAGAGGUCGAC